AUUAGAGUUUUUAGCCUAGUUUUGUGUCCUUAAGUCUUGUUUAAUAUUUUUAAAUUAAUUUAGAAUAGAUUAGCAAUCCCUCCUAAUCCCCGGCCUAGAACGAUACCCUACUUACAUCUAUACUACAAUUGUCAAAAAGAGGGUUUAAUUUGUGUGCUUAUAUUAUUCGCAUCAAAUUUUGGCGCCGUUGCCGGGGAUUAGCAACUUUGCUAAUCCCUUUAUUUUUGUUUUUGUUUAUGUUUAUAUUGGUGUUUGUGUAUUUUACUUUUGAUAUUUGAUUUAUUUUUCUUUCUUUGAUUUUAGGUACAAAUGGAGUAAGACAUGGCACUUGCGACCAUUCAAGCUCAAUUGGCACAGCUCACUGCUCAAUUGACUCAUAAUGCCGAACGGACCACAAUGCCAAGUGUCCCUGCAUUUGAUGUGCCCUAUGGGCAAGGAUAUCAAC
rnacentral:lncRNA from 1 species